CGUGGGCGCGGCUGCAGGACCGUGGCCGAACGGUAGAGGCCUCCCUUCCGAGGAGGUGGCUCGAACUUCUCGGGCCGGGGAUCUGCUCCCCUGCUCGUCCUUCCCAGCGAGGUCCCGGCGCGGCCGGGCCCAGAGCGGCCCUUACCCACCUGCUGUCCUCCCCCUGCAGGCGGCAGCGCCUGUUUUCUGAGUUUCACUAGACCAUAUAGCCACAUUCAUGACUUAGAGGAGAACAAGAAGCUGACUUGAGUUCCACAUAAUUGGCUUAGUUGGUCAACUAUGAACAUUUUUAAAAAAUCUUUUCCAGUUGGGCCUGGAGAUUUAGCUCAGCGUAUAAGCAUCUGCCUUGCAAGCAGAUGUACUACCUUUCAGUUCUGCGGAGCCACCUUGGUGAAAUCUGGAAGCUUUUCCUUCAGGAUCCCAGCUCCAGAGGGUGCUGGUGGAGGUGCUGCCGGCUUCGCUGAGCCGCAGGUGAAGGGCGCAUGUCGGCAGUGCUGGCCUUGGCUGCGGCCUUCGGGACACGUGACCGCGGACAGCAUAGGAGCCGGACAGCGCAGUGACGCCGGGUCUCACCGCGAGGAGCGGGGUGCCUCUGCUCGGGCUCGACGCCUUCCUUCCUACCUGGCCUGGCGCGUGGCGGCUGACCGGGGCAGAUGGCAUCGGCUGGAGACGCAGUCUGCCCAGCGGUGCGGGUGUAUUCCGCACCCGGGAGGCAGGGCGCCAGCACGGGCUUCUAAUGUGAGGAAAAACACGGAAUGACAAGUGUGGGAAAGAGCAAGUACUAAAUUACUGUCAGAAAAAUAAACGGAGUAGCACAGUGGUGCUCAGUGAUUUACGGGGGCAAUUAGUCACCACCCCAUGGCGCUGCUGAGGACAGCAAGGCAGCAGACACGUCAGGCCACAAGGAAGAAGAGACUGCGUGGCUCUCCAGACAACUUUUCAAACAACAAACAACAAGAAUGUGAGCGUAUUAGGUUCCAUGUCUUCGGUCUGGGUGCCUACCCUUCAUAUUUUUCUUCUAACUUAAUACAUAAAGGUAGCUGUAGCACAGUAUUAACAUUCCAUGUUAAAAAGCCUCCAACUACAGCUUUUUUCUCUCCUACUCUCCAGAGUAGGUUCUUUUCCAUCCCUUAAAAAACAAAAAACACUUCCUAUGCCCCGGUUGUUCCCCUAGUAUAUGCCUCUACUGUGUUUUAUUACUUCUUGCUAUCUGUGUUCCACAUUUGUGCAGAGCCACUGGCUACUAAGAAAUUUUAUCUGCAACUCCUCUGCAGAAGUUUGGUAAGGUGGUAUGAGCAGGUGACAAGGAAUGCAAAACACAGCAUCAAGGAAGACCAUUAACUUUUCUAUAUUUGUUAAUGUGUUCAUUAACAUACUCUAUAGUAUUUGCAUGUGUAACAGCAAAAUAAACCUCAGUGAGAAUUAAUUGGUGUUCAUUGCUUAAUAAAUAUCCACCAUCAGAAGAACCCUGAAUAGAAGUUUGGGAAUAACCCAGGAAACAGAAAGAGUACAUUGAUUAAAUGCCACUUGGUGAAGUGAAUAAACGAAAUUCAUCAAGAGUUUAGUACUCUUGAGUAAAUAUUUCUUAAGCAUUUUACAUGUUACAAAGGACAUAUAAUUCCUUUUCUCACUUGAUCUUGCUCUUGUUUUAGGCAGAGAUAUCUGCUGCGUUAGAAAUGUGUUUGAUAUGUAUGUUGGAGAAAGUACCCCAACAUGCUCUACAUUUGACCUCUAUUCUGGAGUCAUAAAGAGGCAGAACCGUAUUGAUGAGCUUGGUACCCAGCCUGGUGCACCAUUCAGCUGGACACUGGGUUUCUGCUAAAGAGGGUUACAGUGAAGAGAAUCUUUAGAUUUCUUUUGCUACUCUUUUGUUAUUCCAUUACUAAGGUUGGAUUUUAUAAACACAUUUUUAAAAACAAGUAAUAACAGUAAGACGAUAUAGGAUUGCAUAUUUGCAACUGCAGAGGCACUAGUUUUCAGAUGUUCUAAUGAAAAAUGAAAACCCAAUCAGGAGGGGAGGCAGACUUGCAACAUCACAGGCAUAUGAAGUUAUUCAGAUCUUAUGGAAAUACCAGGGAUAAUUCAACAUGGAAGUUUAACCAAAAUUACUUUUUAUCCAGAGAGUGCAUUUAAAAGUACAUCAAGUAUAUUUAGAUUUUUCUUUUUCUAAAGUUACCUUGUAGUUUCUGGUAGAGGAACAUACUGGGAAAAACUCCACAUAUAUAAAAAAAUGAAAUUUAAGAUAUAGCAUUAUAAAAAUAUCCCUACAUGGGGGCACAUUUUGAUGUACAUGUUAUUUUUGUUUAAAAAUUAUGAGGUAGUGAGGUGAAAGUGACCUUGGCUUUUAUAUUUAUUUAUUGAUAAAAGUGAUAGGCUUUAAUAUUCAGAUUCAAAUCUUUGCUAAUCAUGCAACCUAUGUACAUUUCAAAGAAAGGAUUUAGAUUGAAGAUUGGAAAUCAGAGACUGGGACUUCCUAUCUGCUCCUGUAUCUGUUUCCUCAGAGUAUUUAUGCAAUAUUCUGAUUUAGCUAUAAUAUAUAAUUCUUAGCUAUUAUUUCAGCUGUAACAAUUUUUAGAUUAAUGGUCAUAAUUUUGGUAAGGCAUACAUGAAAAGUUAUAUGUUCAUGCUUGAAAGGAUCAUUAAAUAUUCAUUAUCACUACUCAAAUUAGUUGUCAUGCUCUAUGUAACAGUUACCCAUUAUUUCACUAGUUUAGAUUCAGCAUUAAGUGAAUAGCCAACAUAUAUGGCUCAUAACCGUAGAGGAAUUUUGUGGGUAGAUGAGGGUCAGGGAAGGAAAUGAUUUUAAAAUCCAUUUGAUGUAUUUAUGUUGACAAAUUUUUUAAGAGUUACUGUGUUGUCAAUAAACAUGUUUGUUGGAAUAUGAUUGUGGCUAGCUUUGCUUUUAAUUACUCUAUGAUUGUGAAUAACAAUAUAUCUCCAAAUAGGAGGGAAGAAUUAUAAAGGUUGAGAUAUUUUAGUCUUUUGCACAUACCUAACAUUAUCAUAAUAAAG
ensembl:lincRNA